rnacentral:rRNA from 1 species
UAGGGAAUCUUCGGCAAUGGGGGGAACCCUGACCGAGCAACGCCGCGUGAGUGAAGAAGGUUUUCGGAUCGUAAAGCUCUGUUGUUAAGGAAGAACGAGUGUGAGAAUGGAAAGUUCAUGCUGUGACGGUACUUAACCAGAAAGGGACGGCUAACUACGUGCCAGCAGCCGCGGUAAUACGUAGGUCCCGAGCGUUGUCCGGAUUUAUUGGGCGUAAAGCGAGCGCAGGCGGUUAGAUAAGUCUGAAGUUAAAGGCAGUGGCUCAACCAUUGUAGGCUUUGGAAACUGUUUAACUUGAGUGCGGAAGGGGAGAGUGGAAUUCCAUGUGUAGCGGUGAAAUGCGUAGAUAUAUGGAGGAACACCGGUGGCGAAAGCGGCUCUCUGGUCUGUAACUGACGCUGAGGCUCGAAAGCGUGGGGAGCGAACAGG